UACAGAGGGGGCAAGCGUUAUUCGGAAUUAUUGGGCGUAAAGGGCGCGUAGGCGGUUUCUUAAGUCGGAUGUGCAAUCCCCAGGCUCAACCUGGGGACUGCAUCCGAGACUGGGAGGCUAGGGUACUGGAGAGGGUGGUGGAAUUCCUCGUGUAGCGGUGAAAUGCAUAGAGAUGAGGAGGAACACCAGUGGCGAAGGCGGCCACCUGGACAGUAACUGACGCUGAGGCGCGAAAGCGUGGGUAGCAAACAGG
rnacentral:rRNA from 1 species